UGGGGAAUCUUGCGCAAUGGGCGAAAGCCUGACGCAGCCAUGCCGCGUGAAUGAUGAAGGUCUUAGGAUUGUAAAAUUCUUUCGCCGGGGACGAUAAUGACGGUACCCGGAGAAGAAGCCUCGGCUAACUUCGUGCCAGCAGCCGCGGUAAUACGAAGGGGGCUAGCGUUGCUCGGAAUUACUGGGCGUAAAGGGCGCGUAGGCGGACAGUUUAGUCAGAGGUGAAAGCCCAGGGCUCAACCUUGGAAUUGCCUUUGAUACUGACUGUCUUGAGUACGGGAGAGGUGUGUGGAACUCCGAGUGUAGAGGUGAAAUUCGUAGAUAUUCGGAAGAACACCAGUGGCGAAGGCGACACACUGGCCCGUUACUGACGCUGAGGCGCGAAAGCGUGGGGAGCAAACA
rnacentral:rRNA from 1 species